rnacentral:misc_RNA from 1 species
AUUUUUAAAGUUAAUGCUGAAAAUGAACUCCUUCCAAGUUUACAGCAAUUACAACACAUAUCUACAAUAGUUUAAAACAGCAGGGCAAAUGAGACCUAAAGCAUGCAGUGAGACAAUAGCAUACAAUUCUCUUUGUAUGCAGUCAUAACGAGAAUUAUCCAUCAUACCUUCAAGGAUGGAGUCAUUUGUUUCUAACUUCCAUAAUUCCAAGUGAAAUGUGAUAUACGGUUGAAAGGAAGAUUUUGAUCUAUCAGUCUUCGCACAACUCUGAUUUAUGCAUAAUACCAUAAUCUGCCACAUAUUUUUUGUUUGCUUAGUCCUGUUUGUUUAAACACGAGGGUCUUAGGCAUUCGAUUCUCUACCCAGUCAGCAACAUCUGAAUAUCUUCAUACUGCACCGAUACACCUUUGAAAACUACUCUAACAAUAAAUCAGCUCCAAGCCUCCAACAGCUUCAGAGACUUUACCACCAGUACUUUUGUCAUUAAUAUGAACCAAACAAGCAUAUAUCCUUUUUCGACGAAUUUUAUACAUGAUACCAGCUCUGAGAUGCCUAGAUUCCAAAAUGUAUAUGCUUGAUACAAAAGCAACUAGGAUAUUCUCACAUACGUUACUCGAAGAGGUCCAGAAUCAUAGUCCGUGACUUUCCACAAUUGUAGAUCCCUUUAAUCAAUAAUCAAUAACCGGGCAACGACGAAAUAGCCCAAAAUAUGAAGCACCCACCACCCAUGUAUAGCAAGCAAUCUCUCGCUUAAGAUAUUCCAUAAUCCCAGCCAAACUCCAAUCCCUCAGAAGGUUUUUCUUAUCCAACAUAAGCUCCCGUCACAGUGCUUUGUGAUUUCCCGGGAAAAAGAUAAAACAGCCAAACUAUAACUAUAUCUACUACAGAACAAUCUACUUAAACCAUAAAUACAGCAACUUAACCUAUUGAGACCCUUUAAGAGGAGAUAUGUACUAGAUUGAUUUAUUACCAGUUCAGUCGGUAAGCUCAUGAAGGAACUGAUAAGAAAUACCUAUAAGCCAUCUCUCCCUGUCCAUAACCAGAUCUCGCAGAUCUUAUGUAGCAGCUACCACCCCUGAAUCGGGGACGAUCUCUGCGAGAGUAAACUUAAUUGGUUGCCAUCCGGAUUGAGGUUGUACAAGCCAUUUCUUCAUGUUAACAACCAUGUGCAAGAUCUGAAGUAUUUCGCCUAAAGCAAGCUCCUUUAAGCACAUUUUCUUAAUAACUGUUGCUGCUUCAAACCUGCACUGAGUAGCGCUUAUGGCGGCUCGUCCGGCAGAAGAUGAUAGAAAUUUCUGGAGGUCAUCCCAUGCUUCUUUGGGAUAUUGUUUCAUAUUACCACCAAUGGGAUUCACACACCUCCAUAGGUUCUCAUUUUUACCAACAUAUAAUUGCAAAGCACCUAAAUUCCGUGUUACUACCAGCUGUUGUUCAACUGCACUCGCGAGAGCCUUCUUAACAUCAGUAUUGCGGUGUUUUGGAUCUCCAUAUUUGAUGCAAUCAGAGAUGUUUGCUUCAGUAGGCAUAAUCUUCUCAGUUUUAAGGGUGUUCAAUGCAAGUAAAACGACUCCAAUAAGGCCUUGAACAUAAUCAGAAGGUUUUGGGCAUCCUGGAGCUCCCCACACACCAUUGAGAGGUCCAUUACUGCUAUUUGCUAUAGAUGACGGUGGUGGAAUCUCAGGGCUGGAAUGUGGAUGCCUGUUUACCUCUUUUUCAACAUAAAAUGGUGUUUUCUUCUGCAAAUUGUGUCCUUUAUGAGGCCCAUUUGUAUUUGUAUAAGAAUUCUCAAUGUUAGGAGGUUGUCUUGAUUCUCCAUUCCACGUUUGAGAAAAAGGACGAUUAUGACCAUUAGUGGAGUUUUCAUUGACUUUUAGCUUACCCAUAUCAGGCAUAGAUAUUUGAGGGCCUGAGGUGUAGCCAAUUGCAUCAGACCUAGGAGGCAUUGAAUGUGAAUGAUGCACAUGCGAAUUAGGUGGUAAGAAAUUACCAGGUGGAAUUAUCGGUGAUACUGGGAGGUUGUUUGGCCUUCCUGGAGGAUAAUUGUUUUGAUAAUUGUUCUGUGAGUUGUUUCCAUUCGUCCAGGAUGCCUCAGGAUUACCAGGAACACCGCUCGGUACAGGCCCACUGAAAGGAGUUCUUGAAUUAUGAGCUCCAGGCAACUCCACUGAAUCAUUGAACUGCUUAGGAUAUCCAUAUCCUGGUUGAUGAAAGUUUGCAGCACUAUGAUUUUCUUGUGUGCCAGAUGAAGUUCGUGAUAUAUUGGGUUGAUUCACACUUCUACGAACUGGUUUGCCCUUCUGCUUAAUAUCUGUACCCCUUCCCAAAUUGUUAAACUUCAUUUGUGGGUUUUCAUGGAAAGUGUCAAGCUGGUUUAUCAGACUGGAGUCACUAGAUGACGUUGAUAAUGUGUCUAAAGUGGGUAAAGAACCGUAGCUGCUAUUAACAAGUUGACUUGAUUCACUAUUUGUGAGUGGAGGUCCUCCAGAUGAAAGGCUUGUCCAAAGCCAUACAGUCUUCGCAGCAGCAACAAGGGGAACAGAAGCUUUUUGAGGUUGUGCGAGAAGAAUAUUAUAUCUGCGCAUGCGCAAUUGAUGAAGUGCGUUUGAAAAAUCACGAUCUCCCGAAAUCAACAAAUAGUUAGCAGGUGCAGGAUUGUCAACUGCCCAGAAUAACAUGUCCACAAGAAUCUUCUUAUCACUUGCAUCUUUAACACCUGCAGGAACGUGAUUAAGGCCGAUUCCAGUACUAUUAAGCGCCUGUUGAACAGAAGAAGCGAUCUUAGUUGUAUCACCGUAAGCGGAAAUAGAAACCGGUCCACAGUAGUUCAUAUUCACAAGCGCAGAACUUAUAUUCUGAGCGAUCGCAUGAGGAUCAGAUCCUCUAGGCACUUGACAGUUUUCUAUAUCCCACCAUACCGAAAUCCUCGCCGCCGAGUACAGCGCCUCAGCCGCACCCGACGGCUGCGGCCCUCCCCCUCCGCCGUUCCCGUUUCCGCCUGCACCACCCAUUUCCUACGAGUUGCCGUUGCCGGAGAAGAAAUGGCGCACGUUAGCGAAUUCCGAUGUGUAAAAUUUAGUCUUUUUAUGUAUGUCUGGUGCGUAAGGUUAGUUGAGGAGUGCGUAGGAUUAG